rnacentral:rRNA from 1 species
UACGAGGGGGGCAAAUGUUGUUCGGAAUCACUGGGCGUAAAGGGAGCGUAGGCGGGUUUUUAAGUCAGGUGUUUAAUCCCGGGGCCCAACCCCGGACAGGCACUUGAAACUGGGAAUCUUGAAUAGGGGAGAGGUCGGUGGAAUUGGAGGUGUAGCGGUGGAAUGCGUAGAGAUCUCCAAGAACACCCGUUGCGAAGGCGGCCGACUGGACCCAUAUUGACGCUGAGGCUCGAAGGCAUGGGGAGCAAACAGG